rnacentral:rRNA from 1 species
UUUAAAUUUCUUCUUAGAAUUUUUAAGUAAAAGAACCAUCUUUAUUUAGUUUUGUAAGAGUAUUUGUUAAAGAAUCUACUUAUUUAUUUAUAACUUAGUGUACUGUAAAGGAAUGAUGAAAUAAAAGCCUUUUGGAAAAAAGAAGAUCUAAAAUAUCGUACCUUGUGUAUCAGGGUUAAGUAAAAUUUUCUUUUAUAAGUAUCUCCCGAAUUUGAGCGAGUUACAUUUUAGAGCUUGUAAGUGUAGCAAAACUUUUUGAAACUAUAAUGUGGGGUGAAAUGCCAGUCGAGCUCUUUUAUCUGGUUUCUUAAAAAACGAAUUAAAUUCGGUUAAGGAUUUGUUUGCUUUGUUGUGUAACUGAGAAAAUAAGACUUAGCUAAAUCUUAGGGGGAUGAGCUCAUAAGAUAAUAAUAGUAUAUUUAUAAUUAAAAGUUAGAUGAUUUUAAGCUUAAAAAUGGCUUUAUUUAAUAAGUUUUUUAUAAUUUACAUCGAAUUUUACAAUAUUUUUUGAAAAUUACUAGUUUUAUUAAGAUGAUUAAGUUAAUUUAAAUCUUAAAGAAAUAUUGCUUAAAUUAGUAGAGUUUACUGUUUUAGUUUAAUUCAAGUUUAGGUUAAAUUCUAAAGUAGUAUAAAUAUUUCAAAGGAACUCGGCAAAUUAAUUUUCCGCAUGUUUAUCAAAAACAUCUCUUUUUGAAUAAAUAAAAAGUACCGCCUGCUCAAUGCAUUUUGUAAAUGGCCGCAGUAUUUUGACUGUGCUAAGGUAGCAUAAUCAUUAGUCUUUUAAUUGAAGGCUGGUAUGAAUGGUGAGACGAGAAAAUAGCUGUCUCUGAAAUAGAUUUUGAAUUUUAUUUUUAAGUGAAAAAGCUUAAAUGCGUUUGGGGGACGAUCAGACCCUCUGGAGCUUUAUUUGCCCUUUUGUUUACACUUAUUUAAGAUUAUGAAAUAGUCGGGUAAAUUUUGUUGGGGCGACAGGAAGAUUAAAAUAACACUUCUUUUUUAGAACGCUUUUAAGCGAAAUAUUGAUCCUUAGGGGGAGAUUAAAAGAUUAAGUUACCCUAGGGAUAACAGCGUAAUCUUUUUGGAGAGUUCUAAUCGAUAAAAAGGUUUGCGACCUCGAUGUUGGAUUAAGAAAUUGGCAAGGUGCAGAAGUUUUGUUGGAAAGUCUGUUCGACUUUUAAUUUCUUACAUGAUCUGAGUUCAAACCGGCGUAAGCCAGGUUGGUUUCUAUCCUCAAAUUUUAGUACACUUUCUUAGUACGAAAGGAUCAGAAAGUGAGAAUUCAUUCUCUAUGUGGGAAUA